UACGUAGGGGGCAAGCGUUGUCCGGAAUCAUUGGGCGUAAAGAGCUUGUAGGCGGCUUGGUAAGUCCGCUGUGAAAGUCCAGGGCUCAACCCUGGAAAGCCGGUGGAAACUGUCAAGCUUGAGUCCGGAAGAGGCGAGUGGAAUUCCUGGUGUAGCGGUGAAAUGCGCAGAUAUCAGGAGGAACACCAAUGGCGAAGGCAGCUCGCUGGGACGGUACUGACGCUGAGACGCGAAAGCGUGGGGAGCAAACAGG
rnacentral:rRNA from 1 species